rnacentral:rRNA from 1 species
UACAGAGGGGGCAAGCGUUGUUCGGAAUUACUAGGCGUAAAGGGCGCGUAGGCGGCCUUCUAAGUCGAACGUGAAAUCCCCGGGCUCAACCCGGGAACUGCGUCCGAUACUGGAGGGCUUGAAUCCGGGAGAGGGAUGCGGAAUUCCAGGUGUAGCGGUGAAAUGCGUAGAUAUUCGGAAGAACACCAGUGGCGAAGGCGACUUACUGGACACAUAUUGACGCUGAGGUGCGAAAGCGUGGGGAGCAAACAGG